UACGAAGGGGGGCUAGCGUUGCUCGGAAUCACUGGGCGUAAAGGGUGCGUAGGCGGGUUUUUAAGUCAGAGGUGAAAUCCUGGAGCUCAACUCCAGAACUGCCUUUGAUACUGAAAGUCUUGAGUAUGGGGAGAGGUGAGUGGAACUGCGAGUGUAGAGGUGAAAUUCGUAGAUAUUCGCAAGAACACCAGUGGCGAAGGCGGCUCACUGGCCCAUAACUGACGCUGAGGCACGAAAGCGUGGGGAGCAAACAGG
rnacentral:rRNA from 1 species